GUACGGCUGAAGACGGGGUCGAUGGGUGAUCAAGAAGGCCCAUGGCCUAGAUCAGUGACCUCCAUUGCACUUUGGAGGGGUCCUGGUCUAAGGUCUCCCCAAGAGGGAGAGCCUACGUCAUAAUUUGUGGCAGCGGGGGCCUGCGUACGCGCGGCCCCUUC
rfam:Jatropha curcas cultivar GZQX0401 scaffold779_95, whole genome shotgun sequence.